GAUGAACGCUGGCGGCGUGCCUAAUACAUGCAAGUCGAGCGAAUGGAUUAAGAGCUUGCUUUUAUGAAGUUAGCGGCGGACGGGUGAGUAACACGUGGGUAACCUGCCCAUAAGACUGGGAUAACUCCGGGAAACCGGGGCUAAUACCGGAUAACAUUUUGAACCGCAUGGUUCGAAAUUGAAAGGCGGCUUCAGCUGUCACUUAUGGAUGGACCCGCGUCGCAUUAGCUAGUUGGUGAGGUAACGGCUCACCAAGGCAACGAUGCGUAGCCCACCUGAGAGCGUGAUCGGCCAAACUGGGACUAGGACACGGCCCAAACUCCUACGGGAGGCAGCAGUAGGGAAUCUUCCGCAAUGGACGAAAGUCUGACGGAGCAACGCCGCGUGAGUGAUGAAGGCUUUCGGGUCGUAAAACUCUGUUGUUAGGGAAGAACAAGUGCUAGUUGAAUAAGCUGGCACCUUGACGGUACCUAACCAGAAAGCCACGGCUAACUACGUGCCAGCCGCCGCCGUAA
rnacentral:rRNA from 1 species